UACGAAGGGUGCAAGCGUUAAUCGGAAUUACUGGGCGUAAAGGGUGCGUAGGCGGGUCUUUAAGUCAGGGGUGAAAUCCUGGAGCUCAACUCCAGAACUGCCCUUGAUACUGAGGGUCUUGAGUAUGGGAGAGGUGAGUGGAACUGCGAGUGUAGAGGUGAAAUUCGUAGAUAUUCGCAAGAACACCAGUGGCGAAGGCGGCUCACUGGCCCAUUACUGACGCUGAGGCACGAAAGCGUGGGGAGCAAACAGG
rnacentral:rRNA from 1 species